UACGAAGGGGGCUAGCGUUGCUCGGAAUGACUGGGCGUAAAGCGUGCGCAGGCGGUUCUAUAAGACAGAUGUGAAAUCCCCGGGCUCAACCUGGGAACUGCAUUUGUGACUGUAGAGCUGGAGUACGGCAGAGGGGGAUGGAAUUCCGCGUGUAGCAGUGAAAUGCGUAGAUAUGCGGAGGAACACCGAUGGCGAAGGCAAUCCCCUGGGCCUGUACUGACGCUCAUGCACGAAAGCGUGGGGAGCAAACAGG
rnacentral:rRNA from 1 species